rnacentral:rRNA from 1 species
UACAGAGACUGCAAGCGUUAUUCGGAUUCACUGGGCGUAAAGGGUGCGCAGGCGGCCGUGUGUGUCAGGUGUGAAAGCCCGGGGCUUAACCCCGGAAUUGCGCCUGAAACUACAUGGCUAGAGCAUUGGAGAGGGUAGCGGAAUUCACGGUGUAGCAGUGAAAUGCGUAGAUAUCGUGAGGAACACCAGAGGCGAAGGCGGCUACCUGGACAAUAGCUGACGCUCAGGCACGAAAGCGUGGGGAGCAAAAGGG